AUGUCAAAGGUUGGGAUGUCGUUUAUGAAGUGCCUCCACGUGUUAGACCACCUCCCCCCAAUGAAGAUGAUUAUGCACCUCACAUUAACCCAGACACAUAUGAAGGAGAAUUCUUUCAAGAAACGUGUCUUUCCAAAAGAACGUUUCAAGAACCGCUCUACUUCACCCCAGAAUAUUGAAGUAGACAGCGACAGUGAACCCAACUUCACCCCUCAGCCGGAACAAGAAGAGCCUGAACUAGAAGAGGUUACUGCUGCGGAUGACCUGUCAAUGCUUGACAGAUUACGUAGAGGUGGCCUUCCACAUGAUGAUGAUGUAUUUAUUAAUGAUGAUGAUGAGCACGUCAUUACUGAUAGUGAUGAUGAUGCUGCAUUUAUUGAACCAGAUUAUGACUAG
rnacentral:rRNA from 1 species